GAUGAACGCUAGCGGCAGGCUUAAUACAUGCAAGUCGAACGGGGUUGAGAAGCUUGCUUUUCAUGAGAGUGGCGCACGGGUGCGUAACACGUAUGCAACCUGCCUUGUCCAGGGGGAUAGCCCGUUGAAAGACGGAUUAAGACCGCAUAACAUCAUUGAAUGGCAUCGUUUAAUGAUCAAAUAUUUAUAGGUACAAGAUGGGCAUGCGUCUGAUUAGCUAGUUGGCGGGGUAAUGGCCCACCAAGGCGACGAUCAGUAGGGGAUCUGAGAGGAUGACCCCCCACACUGGUACUGAGACACGGACCAGACUCCUACGGGAGGCAGCAGUAAGGAAUAUUGGUCAAUGGGCGCAAGCCUGAACCAGCCAUGCCGCGUGCAGGAAGACGGCCCUACGGGUUGUAAACUGCUUUUAUACGGGAAUAACCCCGGUUUCGUGAAACCGGCUGAAUGUACCGUAAGAAUAAGGAUCGGCUAACUCCGUGCCAGCCGCCGCUGUAA
rnacentral:rRNA from 1 species